AACUUGUUGCAACGGGUCACGUGGCUCUCCCAUCGAUGAAGAACGCAGCGAAAUGCGAUAAGUAAUGUGAAUUGCAGAAUUCAGUGAAUCAUCGAAUCUUUGAACGCACCUUGCGCCCUUUGGUAUUCCGAAGGGCAUGCCUGUUUGAGUGUCAUUAAAUUCUCAACCUUGCAAGCUUUUUUGCUAGCGAGGCUUGGAUGUGAGGGCUUUUGCUGGCUUCCUUUAUUGGAUGGUCUGCUCCCUUUAAAUUCAUUAGUGGGAUCCUUUGUGGAUGGUCACUUGGUGUGAUAAUUAUCUACGCCGCCUGACUCUGAAACAAGACUUGUGGGGACCUGCUCAUAACCGUCUCUUCAAGGGACAAUUUAUAUUGACAAUUUGACCUCAAAUCAGGUAGGACUACCCGCUGAACUUAAGCAUAUCAAUAAGCGGAGGCU
rnacentral:misc_RNA from 1 species